AACUCUUAUCGCGCGUAUAUUGUGUCUGGUGUGUGGUCAAGAAGAAGAAGAAAAAAAACCGCAGGCAACUGGUGGCUCUUGAGUACCGUAGAUCUUAUCCAUUCGAGUGAGAAUUUAUCAGUUAAAAAAAAUUGCCUUUCAACUAAUACCCUCCUUCUCUAUACAGGCACCCCCUUGGCCCUCGUAGUGGAUUAUGGGCGGUUACAUCGUUCGAGGUCUUCACGCUUUUCACCUUUGAUCGCGGAGCUUUUGGGGACUUUGAUUUGUGACUUUUGAUACUUCUACUAUGUUUAGCUCUUCAUGAGCUCCCUCAUGGGUCCCUUCGUCGUGGGAUCAUCACAUUUUAAAAUGUUUUUAGAGCUCUUAAAGCACGAAAGAGCCUCACCUCAAGUGGACAAAUAGUGAUGAAAUUGAGGGUAAAAUACAUAAUACUCGCUGUGGAAAAUGAAGGACGGCUGAUUCUGAAUUGCUGAGAGAUGCUUCAGCUGGAGAUUUCUCCACCACCAAGGGUUUCAUGCACAUCAGCACUAUUUUACUCCUACGGCGAUCUCUAUUUUUGCCUUUCGAAUGUAGCUAAAAAAAAUGUUGAAUAGCCUGGGGAGGCACAGAGUGAGCCAAUUGAAAUGCAAUUAAAAUUAAAAUGAUUAAAAUUCCAUAAUUUCAGAGUUUUUUUUUGGAGCUUUUAAAAAUGAUUUUGGCCAUCCAGAGAGAUUUUAUUUUGUGAUCUUCAAAUAAUUUUAGAACAGGAACGAAAAUGAAUAGACUCCUUCCUCAUUUUCACUCAAAUAUUGAAUCAAAAAUCAAACGUUUUCAA